AUCCUGUAUGCACACAGGCUAUUUGGAAAGAAAGGGAGUAUGUUUACUGUAGAGAAUAAACAGGUGAAACAUGCCUGAAACAUACUGAGAUCCUAAAGUAGUGCAGCUUCUAAAAAUAGUGGCAGUGAUUCAACCUAGGGGCCUAACGGUAAAUUGGCAAUUAUCCUUCAUACCCAAGAGGCCAGCUGCAAACAAUUACUCUCCAGUCUACACAAAAAAUAAUGAGACAAAGCCCAGAAACAGGAUUUCAGUAGACAGCUAGGAGACCACGGGUGGUUAGUUAAUGAACAUGGGCAAUAUUUCUUUCCCCAACUGCCAUUUGUCAAGCCAUCAGGGAGGCUCAUUGAGAAACUCACUACAGGAGAGAAGCCCUAUAUAACUGGUCAGUUGCAAUCAUGCUAACUCCUGGUAUGAAAAGGAUAAUCAGUCAGAUAGUUGAGACAUGCUCCUUCUGCACAAUGAACAACCCCCACACCAGCACCCCCAGAGGUCCCCACAUAAGGCCUGUCAGCCCAGAGAGACACAUCCUAGGGAAGAUUGGCAGAUUGAUUUCACUAUCACGUCAAGAGCAUCAGACAAGUUCAGCUGUCUCUCAGUGCUAGUGGAUUUGUUUUUAGGGUCAGGAGAAGUGAUCCCCACUAGACGUGAAAUAGCAGGCAAAGUGGCUAAAGCAUUACUAAAAAAGAUAAUCCCCAGAUUUGGGCUCCCAAGAUUCCUACAAAGUGAUAACGGUCCAGCAUUUUUGUCUCAAGUGACGAAAGGAUAACAAGUGCCCUGGGCAUAAAACGAACCUUGUUCUCAGCCUGGAUACCCCAAUCAUCAGGAAAAGUACAGCAAUCCAAUUAGAUCUUAAAAUGCACCUGAGCCUUUUGAAAUGAAUGUGAGGAGAUUCAAAAAAAUUAGAUUAAUUUGCUCCCAACUGCCCUGCUCCACAUGUAGUUAGCUUCAAGGGACAUAAGUUAAAGUGAAGUACAUUUGAACUCAUGCACAUAGACCCAUUCCCCAGUCCAGAGAAAAGGGCACCUUGACAACUUUGAAAUGAAACAAUUCAGUAUGUUCUCCAGGUAGAAGAAAACAGGACCACACUCAUGGAAUAUGGUAAACAGGUGCUGCCCACACUCACCAGUCUGGCCCUCCACCCCUUCAGGCCAGGAGACUGGGUGAAGCUAAAAACCUGGAAAACCAGCAGCCCAAAGACCAAUUCACUUCUAGUAGAACUACCCCAUUUGGUGAUCCUAACCACCCACUCUGCCCUGAAGUUUCAGGGAUCACUCCAUGUGCACACCAUACUCCAGUGAAGAGGGCCCCUGAACCCCAGCCUCCUCUGAGACAACCUGGGACAAUGGACCCCUUUGACCACCUGGGUGAAUUUUCCUCUGACCUGAAGUUUCUCUUCUGAAAAACAGAAGUGUGACCAGGGAUAUUCAGGAAGUGUAGAACUUCACUGAUUGUUAGAUCAGUCACGCAAAAUCUGAGACAGGAAAGGACUACUAGUUUCAGGAAUUGUUGCAGUCAUAAGGGUGCUAGUGACCCUGGCAGGGGAACCACAUAUCACACUGUCACCGUAACAAAGGGAACGGCCACUGUGGCAACUGUGGCCAGUGACACUAGCCUCAACUUCGACUACUCAGCCCAAUUUGGCUGAGCAAUUUUGGAGUGGGAUAAAACAGGCCCUCCCUAGUAUCACUUAGAUUUUAGCUUUUCUGGGCGCCUUAAUGACCAUUAUUCUUGCUAAUGUUCGGGCCAUACAUAACUAUAAAACUCCAAGUGGUGGUCACUCAGGGAUACCAACAGUUCAGCUGAGGCCUGGUGACAAUCAAACAUCCAGAGGUAGCUGGGGAGAAAUUCUCCUCUACCCGGGGUGGUGAUGACGCCGGAAAUCAGCAGGAAACAGGAAAAGAAGUGAGAGCUGAAGCCCUCUGUGGCCCUCAAGAAUGAGGAGCAGAACAAAAGAGAGAGGAGGGAUUUGUCCCCACAAAGCCCAUUAACAAUGUCCGGGAAAUAAACGUAGAAGCUAGAUAAUAAGAUAAAUUCUAACCUUUUUUCUUUCCUUUGUGCUUCGUCUAGUUUCACUUGCUCAGAGGGUGCAGCGCGGAGAGGCCUGGCGCCCGGCCCUUCAGACCAGAGUUUCUAGUGCGAAAUAGCAGAGCCCAAGGCUUCAAUUCAAGAUGGCGGCGGUGGCGGCCGAGGGCAGAGACGCUGCGCCUUGCAGGAAGCGCGAACAGGACAGCCCCGCGAGAGCUCCUCGCCAGGCCCCCAGAAGGAUCCUGACAAAACAGCCCCGCCCACAGUCCUUGAUGGGGGAGAAUUUGUUAGAGUGAGAGCUGGUACCUCUUCAUUCUCUCAUCAAAGAAUAAAGCUUUCCUUUGCUUCUGAACUGAACUUGAUUUUGUUACAUUGGCGCAAGUGACACUGGGCAGGACUUUUGGUGGGGAUCUACUCAGGAGGAUCAAUAACAGAGUCAGCAGGUUUGGGAAAUACAUUUUUGGAGCAUCCUAGCAUGAAUGUCUUGAAUAGUGAAAGCCGCAUUUCUUUGUGACCUGAAGGCUCGAUAAAGUCUCUUUAGCCCUGUCCUUUUAGAAGUAAAAGUAGAUUUUUAGAGGCCACAUCCUGCCUUUCAGAGAGAGCUAUCAGCUCCUACCAGAAAAGAGUUCCUUUCUUACUACAUGCAAGAUAGAAAGAAUAAUUAGCACUAUCAUUGGAUUAUUAUUUCUUCCCACUGUAGCAUAUAAUAGAAUGGUUUUACUGUCAUAAACAUUUUCUCUGAUAGCCUUUCCUUAGUGUUAGCUGGACACACAUGUUCACAAGUUGGCCGAAUAAAGAGUAGGAAGUAGAAUAGAAUCAUAGGUUAGUGUCUUACUCAGACACACUAGCCAGGCUGAGACUUGGCCAGCAUGGAUCAGCACAGCCCUUCCUGUUGUUUGCACCUGUUGUCUCUUCUGAUUGGCUGGUGCCUGUGUGAUUCCAGUUGUUCAAGAUUUUCAAUACCAAUUUGGGGUGUACAUUUACCCUCUUAGAGCUAAACUAGUGAAAUAUAACAAACAAAUGGAUGCAAAGAGCUCUCUUCAGUAAUAACCCCAAAAUGUUCCUGAAAAAUGUGGACCUGAGAAAAUAUAAAAGCACCCAACUUCAAGAUGUAAACGGAAGCGAGCAGGCCUGGAAUGUGACUGAAACUAAGAAAAUCCACACCUGGACAACUGUAUUUAUAAAUUGUGUCUAAAUUGGUCACCUCCCUCUGAAGUUCAUAAGGGAAAUAGGCAUCAAGGACAUGUCAAGCGUAUGAUCAGAAUACCUAUGCUUGCAUCUGUGAAUUUCUAUCCAGUGGGGUGGCCUGGUGAACCAGGCUGAGGAUGCAGAAGGCCUCUGCUCCAUUUAAGUCUAUUUUGCCCAUUUUGUUCUGGGCUUAGAUCAAGCCUCUGACUUCUCAAGUGUACCGCACUGACGGCAAGGAAGGGCAGUACAAGAGUCUGCCAAGGAAAAGGGAGGGCUGGUCUGCAUCUCCCUAAGGGCUAUGGGAUACUGGUCUAUUUAAACUCCCACCCCACACUCUCUCAGGGCAAGGAGGGCCACAGGCAGCAGCCUCUGGUCAUCUAGUGCACCGGGUGUGCAGAGGGACUCCCAAGAAAGAAAAUACUGGAAAGAGACCUCAGCCUUAGUAUGGUGGCUCAGUAAAGGUCCUUCUUGACAUACCCAGAUGCUGGUGCACUGGGGUUUGGGGAAGUGGUGGUAGAGGAGAAUGAAACAGGAAGCCUGGAGCGCCCCUUGCAGACUAAUUGCAUUUUACCAUGGCUGAAAAAGGAACCUGGUAUUAGAAAGCUGGCAGCUCAGGAAACCUAAAAUAGAAGGGAGAGAAUCAGCAGCAUUCUGUCAGUACUAUCCAGGAAAGAAAGAUACUAAAUUUAGUGAACAAAGCUGGGCACUUGAAAAGAAGUCAGGUCCAGAAUCCUUUAUGAACUGUUCCAAAAUCCAGAAAUCUCUGAAAAUGGAAGAUGUUUUACAAUUCCUUUGUUAACAAAAUGUGACCUGAAUUGAUAUAAGGCAAUCUAUAGCCUCUGUUUAUCUCAGCAUGAAUAUAUUUAUGUUGUGUUACAUUUAUGUGUUUGAUCAUAAGAUGCUCCCGGACCUCACUAGGGAUGUUGUCAUAUAUGGUAAAUGAAUUGCUUACUUCUUUUUUUUUGUUUGUUUUUUGUCUUUUUAGGGCCACACCCACAGCAUAUGGAGGUUCCCAGGCUAGGGGUCUAAUUGGAGCUGUAGCCGCCAGCCUACACCACAGUCACAGCAGUGCUAGAUCCGAGUCAUGUCUGCAGCCUACACCACAGCUCAGAGCAACACCAGAUCCUUAACCCUGAGCAAGGCCAGGGAUGGAACCGCAAGCUCAUGGUUCCUAGUUGGAUUCUCUUCUGCUGCGCCACAUUGGGAACUCCUGCUUACUUCUUUAAAAUCUUAAAAACUGUGAAAUCUGAAAUACAUCUGGCCCCAAUCAGCCAAAGGAUUUGAGGAUCUGUGAGAUGAUGCUUGGUGAAUGUGGGCCUUGAUUCCAGCUCAGCCACUCACGUGUCAUAUGACUUUGAACAAGUGACACUGGUUCUGUAGUAAGAUAAGGAUACUAGUCAUUAUAUUAAAUGAGGUUAUGCACAGAGUUCAUCACAGGGCCUGGUAAAUGGUAAAUGUCUAAUAAUAUUGGUGUUUAUUUUCUUACUUGAUCUCAAAGACUGCAUACCUCACUCCCUCUGAUUCAUAGUUACCAAGGAAUCAUCUGCCUACAAGCUACCAGGCCCCCUGUUACCAAGAAGGUGGAAGCUUGGAAAGUGAACAAGAGUUUUUGAGUCUCUGAUGAUCUAUUAAAACCAAUAACUUGACUUUCAAUCCAAUGUCAAUCUCUUGCCUAUCUAAAAAAAUGCAGAUCAAAUGAAAAUCAGAGGAGAAGUUACAGCUGUGGUGCAGCAGGUUAAGGAUCCAGUGUUGUCUCUGCAGCAGCUCAGGUUGCUACUGAGGCAAGGGUUCAAUCCCCAGACCUGCACAGUAGGUUAAAGGAUUUGGUGAGGCCAUAGCUGUGGUGUAGGUUGAAGCUGUGGCUCGGAUUUGAUC
rnacentral:lncRNA from 1 species